rfam:Schistosoma rodhaini strain Burundi genome assembly, scaffold: SROB_scaffold0003960
AUCCAGCUGACGAGUCUCAAAUAAGACGAAACGCGCGUCCUGGAU